AUUUAAACUUCAGCAGACUGUACAUGCAGAUAAUGAAAGAACCUAGUGGGGAAACCCCCACUCAAUUCUUGAUUCGGUGCGCACCCAAGAAUCACGAACAGACGA
rnacentral:pre_miRNA from 7 species